rnacentral:rRNA from 1 species
AGUUAAGUCUCGUUGGUGACCAGCGGAGGGAUCAUUAAAGAGUUCUAUAACUCCCAAACCCAUGUGAACAUACCUAACGUUGCCUCGGCAGGUCGCACCUACCUUGUAGCACCCUACCCUGUAGGGCCUACCCGGGAGGUGCGGGUAAGCCUGCCGGCGGCCCACCAAACUCUGUUUGAUAUUGAAUUCUGAACCUAUAACUAAAUAAGUUAAAACUUUCAACAACGGAUCUCUUGGUUCUGGCAUCGAUGAAGAACGCAGCGAAAUGCGAUAAGUAAUGUGAAUUGCAGAAUUCAGUGAAUCAUCGAAUCUUUGAACGCAUAUUGCGCCCAUUAGUAUUCUAGUGGGCAGGACCGUUCGAGCGUCAUUUCAACCCUUAAGCCUUCGUUGCUUAGUGUUGGGAGCCUACGGCAACGUAGCUCCUCAAAGUUAGUGGCGGAGUUGGUUCACACUCUAGACGUAGUAAUUUUUUAUCUCGCCUAUUAGUUGGACUAAUCCCCUGCCGUAAAACCCCCAAUUUAUCAAGGUUGACCUCGAAUCGGUUCAGACAAACUCGCUAAAUUGAAGCAUCUUAGUCAGCGAAGGAAAAGAAACCAACAGGGAUUGCCCGUA